GGGGAGGGGAGGGGAGGGGAGGGAGGCAGGUUGGUUCUCUCUCACCCCUGCCUUUAAGUCCACAAGGCAAGUGUGGGCAAAGGCACCUACUGAGAGCAAAGAGCCACCAGAACAGAAGCCGGUGCUACUCUCUGCGGCCAGUGGGACAGAACACAGACUGGCUCUCAGCCUGUGUGCCGGGCCCUCCACAAAGUCCCCUGAACUGCUGCAUACGUGGGCCCAGGCUCCAGCUCUACUCACUUCUCAGAAAAUCGGCAGUACUCAGGGCUUGCUGGCAGCUCUGGGGCUGGAGGCACAAAAGGAAGCAGCCGCUCCCCAACCCCACUGGACGGAGCCUCCUGCCUGCAAACCCCUGCUGCACAGACACAGCCCUCCCGGCCCGGAGCUGCCAGCAUCCUGAGCCAGGGCGGGCCUCCCAACGCUUGGGCAGAUGGGGGCGGCGUGGGAGGGAAGCAAGAAAAAUGAAAGCAAAAACCUUUCUCCACCUCAUUCAUCAACAAAAAGAUUUCCAGAGUGCACUGGGCCUCUCUUGCCCUUCGAAUUGCUGGGCGAGUCACACUAAAGAAGUCCCCCGCCCCACAGAGGUGGUCAGCAGCCACUGACAGCAUCUCUGAGUGGCCCAUGGUGAACCCCUCCCCUGGCAGAUCAGAUGGGGUCCAGCCUGUCAUCUCUGCCCUCCAGGUGGGCUGGGACAGGGGAAAUGGGAGGAAGACAAUGUUCGUGACAGUGGCCCGUCACAUGGCUCAGAAGGAUGGCAGAAUGAGGGGGUGAGGUGAGAAUCAGCCAGGGACGCCUGCCUGAACGGGGAGGCCUCUGGGUGCUGCAGGUGCAGCCCAGACCCGCCUCAUCCCCACCCCUGCUGCUUCCCACUCAGCUGUCCUCAGGCUUGUGGCUGACAGCUCAGGCUCCGGGUGGCGGAAUCCCUGUAGGAAGCCCUGGCCUAGGACCC